GCUACAAUUGAACAAGAAGGGGUGGGGGCAGGGGGAAAGGAUAUGUUCCUGGGCCACAGAGGGAGAAGGGCUCGCUGCCUGGGUGACAGCUUGCUCUUUGCUUUCUCCCUCAUGCCUCUCUGAAGAAAAAGACAGGCGGGGGCGGAGAAGGGGCCCGUCUCCGUUUUUUGUUCCAAGGCCCAUUCCAGCCUUGUUAGGUCCCUGCAACCACUACAGUGUGUGAAAUGGCAGGCUGUGUACUGCGUGGCCCCUUAAUGUUCAUGCAGAUGCAUUGGACAUCAAUAUGUACUACAAAUAAAGAUGUGUUCCUCCUGCCACACUCUGCACACUCCAGGGAUGGUUAACCUGGACACCAUCUUUGAAGAGACUCCAGCAGAAGAGGAAGAGGAGCCCACCCCAGCCUGACUACCUGAUUCCAAGGACCAUUUUCUGGCUCCCUCAGGCAUACAGCUGGACACACACACGGAAGAACCCUGAGGGCACUUAAAAGAGGUAGUGAGGAAGAUCUUCUACUUCUUUCAGAUAUCUUAGUCAAUCUACCUUCAAGAACAGAAGAGGGCAUUAGUUGGAACCUUGCAAAAGGCCUGGGAAGACUGCAAUACCAUAUCUGACUGCAUGUUUUGUAACCCUACCUGGAACCAGGAAGAGGGGAAGAUAUGUAACUGCUGCCAAACUAAAACAACCACCUGCAGGGCUGCUAGUUCCAGCCUCAGUUGGCACUGAGUAAAAAGAAGAAGAAAAAUGUG